AGGGCACCACCAGGGGUGGAGCCUGCGGCUUAAUUUGACUCAACACGGGGAAACUCCUCCGGUCCGGACACCGUGAGGAUUGACAGAUUGAGAGCUCUUUCUUGAUUUGGUGGGCAGUGGUGCAUGGCCGUUCUUAGUUGGUGGAGUGAUUUGUCUGGUUUAUUCCGAUAACGAACGAGACUCUGGCCUACUAACUAGUUGCGCGAUUGAGGAGUCGUGCCAACUUCUUAGAGGGACAAGCGGUGCUCAGCCGCAUGAAAAAGAGCAAUAACAGGUCUGUGAUGCCCUUCGAUGUUCGGAGCUGCACGCGCGCUACACUGUGAGUGGCAGCAUGUUAGCUUGCCUCGCUCGCAAGAGUGGGGUAAUCGGUUGAAAAUCUCACGUGAUUGGGAUAGGGACUUGUAAUUAUUUCCCUUGAACGAGGAAUCCCUAGUAAGUGCAGGUCAUCAGCUUGCGCUGAUUACGUCCCUGCCCUUUGUACACACCGCCCGUCGCUGCCCGGAACUGAAGCAUCUCGAG
rnacentral:rRNA from 1 species